rnacentral:lncRNA from 1 species
UUUCGUGCUCCUUCUCUCCCUUUCCCUCCACAUAUCUUCUCAUAUCUUCAAGCUCUUAUCCAUGACUUCCUAUGGUGGUGAGUUUCUUCUUGACUCAUCUUCUUCUUGAAGUGGUGUCUCCAAUAAUCUUUCUUCCUUCUCUAUUUCGCUAGCCAUUGAACUUCAAGAAGCAAAAGACUCCAUUGAUGAAGAAGAUUCAAGGCCUACAAGCUCCACAUGGAGCUACAUCAUGUGGUAUCAAGAGCAUCUUCAUCUAGGUGAUGUUCUUUUGCUUCCUCUAUCUUUUUG